rnacentral:lncRNA from 1 species
UGCAACCUCGACCAAAGCCACAGUAUCACGAGGAAGCCGUGGACUCUCCCAAAAACUGGUCUCUCUCAGAACGAGCACCCGCUGGGAGCAGCUUGACUCUGCCCAAAAAUGGUACCUCGAGAUGGGGAACUCAGCUUAAAACAAUUGGCAAAAUGUUGUCAGGUUCUUUGCCUCUCGAACGCACGAGCAACUCAUGCCACCAGGAAAGCACCAAAAAAAUACGCUCGAGUCCCUCCUCGCUUGUCUGCCUCUCUGCUUUCCACGCACCAGUAAUUUCUACCGAGCAUUUCAACAACCAAGAUGCGGGCACGGGCCGUAUCGCAGUUAAGGUUGGAGGGAUACACGUGGUGCGUUCCACCUACCGUCGAAGUGUGGCUGCCUCUGCGUCGUCGAUAGCAUACCUACCUCCUGACGAAGGGCUGGCCGUUUGGUGGUAGGUAGGGGAGCAUCCGAGUUAACACAGUAGCAACCACUCACGUGCGAUCGAUCAGCCUUAGCCACAAGCUGUUUGAUGUAAUGCCUCUUCGAUCGUUUUAAUUACUUGGGGCGCGGUGAAGAGCUACGCAAAUUGACACGCCAACCGAGUUGAAUACGUAUAGCUCGACUGCUUGUGCAAUGAUGUGGAUUCGUGAGACUCUAUAAUAUAGAUAGAUCAGAGUUAAAUGAAAAUUAAAGAAUGAAUUAUUUGUCUUUGG